rnacentral:lncRNA from 1 species
ACAUAUCUAGGUUUUAAGACCAUAUGAUAUUAUCGUCUUGCGAUCAAUCGUGACAAAUUCCAUGAAGUGAUACCAGCAAACGCGGGUCUAAUCCAAUGCUCAAAUCAAGUUCAUAAGCAUUCAUGAACGUUGUAGCAAACCUUUUCUAUGUCUAAUACACUUUAGACAAUCUACAACCAAUUCAUGACAAUCUUCUUUCAUACCUACUCCCAAAGUAUGAGCGACUGUGGAACGUUUGAAUAAUCUUAUUAUUCAAAAAGUCAAAACAUGCAAAGUGAAACAAUAGGCAAAUAAUCAACAUAAGACAAUAACUUUACUUAUAAAUAAUAGUCUUUUAUUUAAUCAUCAAAUGUCAAUUACAUUUAUUUAUUACACGUUUCAAAUCUAUCUAAUCUAAACUAAUGCCAUCCUUCAGCCCGAUGCUCCUAGCGUGCUGCAAUUGCUUAACCCUACUCAGUGCCUUCGUAAGCGGAUCUAUUGGGUUAUCCUCCGACGAUACCCUCUUCACUACGAGGAGUCCUUCUUCCACCCGCUGUCGAAUAAAGUGAUAUUUUAUGUUGAUAUGUCGACACCUGCCAUGAUCCCUCAGUUCCUUGGUCAAGGCAACCACUCCUCCAUUAUCAUAGAAAAAUUCCAUGGGCUCCUAUAUGGCUGGCACAACUCCAAGGUCUCCAAUGAAGUUCUUCAACCAUAUCGCAUCCUUUGACGCUUCUCUUGCCACUAUAUACUCUGAUACACAUGUUGAAUUAGCCACGGUCUCCUACUUGGAACUCUUCCAAGUCACUGCACCUCCAUUUAGGGUAAAGACCUAGCCCGACUGCGAACGGUUGUUGUCCCCGUCGGUCUGAAAAUUGGUGUCACUAUACUCUCGCACCCUUAAGUCAUCACUCCCACCGAGGACUAGAAACCAUUCCUUGGUCCUCUGAAGGUACUUAAGAAUAUUCUUGACUGCGGUCCAAUGUGCUUUGCCAGGGUUCCCUUGAUAUCUGUUGACCAUGCUCUAAGCGAAGGACACAUCAGGGCAAGUACAAGUUAUAGCAUACAUAAUCAAGCCAACUGUGGAAGUGUAUGGUACUCGACUCAUUUAUGCUAUCUCGACUUUGGUACUCGGGAUUUGAGUCUUACUCAACUUGGCAUUACUUUGGAUUUGUAACUCCCCCUUCUUAGAAAUCUCCAUACUAAUAUGCUUUAGUAACUUGUCCAAGUAAGUAUUCUGACUAAGUCCUGUUAGUCUUUUACUUCUGUUUCUCACUAUCUUUAUUCCCAAAAUAAAGGCAACUCUCCGAGGUCCUUCAUAGCGAAACACUUCCCAAACCAGGACUUGACUUCCUGUAGCAUUGGGAUGGUGUUUCCUAUGAGUAUUAUGUCAUCGACAUAUAAUAUGAGGAAGCUAACUAUACUCCCAUUGGCUUUGACAUAUACACAUGAUUCAUCCUCGCUUCGCAGAAAACCAAACUCUUUGACUUUCUCAUCGAAACAAAGAUUCCAUCUGCGAGAUGCUUGUUUCAGUCCAUAAAUAAUCUUCUCAAGCUUACACACUCUAUUAGGGCGCUUCACAUUGACAAAACCAUCUGGAUGAGCCAUGUAAACAUCCUCAGCCAACUUCUCAUUAAGGAAAGCGGUUUUGAUGUCCAUCUGCCAUAUCUCAUAGUCAUGAAAUGCAGAAAUGGCUAGCAUCACCCUAAUAGAAUUUAUCUCCGCAAGCGGUGAGAAAUUUUCAUCAUAGUCAACUAUGGGAGUUUGAGUGAAACCCUUCGCAACCAAUCGCGCCUUAUAGGUGUGCAUAUUCCCAUCCAUGUCGGUCUUCUUCUUGAAGAUCCACUUGCACCCGACCGUCUUACGACCUGGUACAUUGUCAACCAAAUUCCAAACUUGGUUGUCAUACAUGGACUGGAUCUCGCUGUCCAUAGCCUCUUCCCAUUUUGCAGACUCCGGGCCUGCCAUGGCUUCCUUAUAGCUGUUAGGUUCGUCCAAAUUCACUAGUGUACAAUGACUGAUGAGUGUAUCUCCUUCUGUAGUAAUAUGAAACCAUAAAACUGGGGUUGAAACCUAACUCUUUCAGAACGUCUAAGAGGUAAGGACUCGUCAAUCGGUUCAACUGGAGUUUCCUCCUCGGGUUGAGUGCCAGUUAUAGAGGUUCCUUCAUCGCUUGACUCUUGAAUCUCUUCAAGAUCAAUUUUCCUCCCACUGUCCCCUUGGCUUAUGAGUUCUCGCUCUCGGAAAACCCCUCUCCUCGCAAAAAAGUCAACAUUGUCAUUCAGUCUAUAGAAGAGAUAUCCAAAGGAGUUCAGCGGGUAGCUGAUGAAAAUACACCGCUCACUACGAGGCUCGAGCUUGUCGUAAGUCUCUCGUCUUACGAAAGCCUCGCAACCCCAAACCUUGAUAUGUGCCAAUGAAGGAGCUUUACCUAUCCACAUUUCGUGAGGUGUUUUGGCAACGUUCUUCGUAGGGACUAAGUUAAGGAUAUGGGCGACAAUCUCUAAGGCAUACCCCCAGAAUGAGAUAGGUAGCAAAGCACGACUCAUCAUGGAAUGAACCAUAUCUAGCAAGGUUCGAUUAUGCCUCUCAACCACACCAUUCAUCUGUGGUGUCCUAGGUGGCUUGAAUUGCGAAACGAUUCUGCAUUCCUUGAGGUAGUCGUGGAAUUCAAGACUUAGGUACUCUCCACCAUGAUCGGAUCGAAGCAUCUUGAUUUUCCUGCCCAACUGAUUCUCCACUUCUUGUUUAAACUCUUUGAGCUUUUCAAAGGUUUCUGACUUAUGCUUGAUUAAGUAAAUAUACCCAUAUCUGCUAUAAUCAUCGGUGAAAGUCACACAGAAGCGAUUCGCAUCCCUUGUGGUGGAUCUAAAGGGCCCACACACAUCGGUGUGUAUGAGAUCCAAUAAACCCUCACCCCUCGCACAAGUGCCAGUGAAAGGUGACUUGGUCAUCUUUCCAAGCAAACAAGAUUUGCACACAUCAUCGUCCCUAAGGUCAAAUGACUCCAACACUCCAUCCUUUUGGAGUUGUGCUAUGAGUUUUUUGUUGACAUGUCCAAGACGACAACGCCACAAGCAUACUUUAUCCCAACCAUUGGAAGAACCAAUACACAACACAUCAUUUCCUAAAUUGUCUACAACCAUCACAGUUUCAUAUAUUCCAUUACAAGGUAAUGCUUCAAAAUAGAAAACACCGUUAAGAUAAGCAUUAAUAGAACCCUUUUCAUUAUCAAAUGAAUAUCUAAAACCUUGUCUAUACAAACCAUGAAAAGAAAUGAUGUUUCUUGCCAUAUAUGGCGAAUAGAAACAAUUAUUUAAAUCUAAUCCUAAUCCACUACUGAGCACUAAAGAGUAAAGUCCGAUCUUGGUGACAGGCGACGCUCUUCUCUUCCCCAUGAUCAAAUUUAUCUUCCCAUGAUCCACAUCCAUAUUUCUUCUUAGGCCCUGCAAAUCAGAACAAAUGUUAAAACCACAUCCUAUAUCAAGUACCCAAGAAAUAGCAUGUGAUGAAUCAUUAGAUUUAAUAGUGUAUAUACGUGCGUAGGAUGGCUUGAUCUUUCUAUCCUUGAUGUUCUGCAGAUAUUUCGGGCAACUUCGUUUCCAAUGCCCUAUUUCAUGGCAGUGGUGGCACUCUGCCUCCUUGGGGUUGUAGUUGGGUUUAGCAGAGCCAGCCUUGGUUCCACUAGAAGAGGAGCAAUUUUGGGACUUUCCCUUAUGGUGGCUCUUUGAGGGAGCCUUCCUCUUCUUACCCUUCCUUUGCCUAAUUACCAGGACUGGGGUAGCAGUAGGAGUUGGAGAUGAUGCAACAGAUUUAUCUUUGAGGUUUCUCUCAGCAGUCCUCAAUAAUCCUUGAAGCUUUCUCAAGGUGACCUCCUCCUUGUUCAUGUGGUAGGUCAUGCAGAACUGGUUGUAGCAGGGAGGCAAGGAGUAAAGGAUGAUGUCAAUUGCUAGCUUUUCAUCAAAGUUCACAUUCAACUUUAGCAGGUGAUCGAAAUAUCUCAUCAUCCUUUGCAGAUGAGCGGUAAGUACUCCCCACUACCCAUUUUGGUAGUGAUCAUCGAAGUGAUGAUCUCAUACCUUUCUUGCCUAGCUCUCUGGUGGUACCAGUCCAGCAGAUCUUGAUGCAUCUCAUAGGGAUACAUGUCCUCAUAGGACUUAUGGAGUUCUGCAGUCAUAGUCACUAGCAUGAUGCAAUGGACUUUCGUAGCAUCACGCUCAUGGGCCUCAAAGGCCGCGAUCUCUUCAGCAGAGGCAGUGUUAAUGUUGAUUUCCUUCAGCUUCUCAUCGAGGACAUACUCUUUGUCCUCAUAACGAGUGACCAUUCAGAUGUUGCGGAUCCAAUCAUUGAAAUUGGACCCGUCAAAAAUCACUCUCCCACACAAGUUCAUGAGUGAGAAUGAGCCAGAGGAAUUUGAGUCGGAAGCGUUGUUGUUGACGUUCGACAUCUGAAAAUGAAAAAAGAACAAUGUUUGAUUAGAAAAAUGAAUCCCCAAUUAAACACCCAAAUCAAAAAUUAGGUCUAGGAUCCAACAACAUUAUUUACAAAUUAGAAGAAGGAUGUCGUAAUCUAACAAGUAAAUAAUUUGAAGGUAAGUCAAUGACGAUUCACUAAUUUUCCACCAUGAAAAAACAAAUUAAAGCUAAGUUUUAAGUGUAUGGAAAACUCCUAGAUCUUUUGAGAUUCAUUCAACGCUUCAAUGGCAUGUUUAAAUCUCGAUAUGCCCCUCAAGUUUGUGAUUGGGAUGCCGAGGAUCACAAAGCGGGUGUGAAUAACCAUGCAAAUGAACAUCGUGCCCUUAAUGUUACAGCUACCUAUUCGAUGUACCGGUUAACCACACACGCUCCAUCGAAUUAUGACAAACAUCGAGUCACUCUUUGCCACCUUUGCUUAGAGCCCAACUAGUGUGCCGGUUAACCACACAUGCUCUACUAACAUCUUAGCAAGGGUACAAAGUGUUAUUUCAUGGAAUGGCAUCAAUUCACUUUUGACUAAAGUAACUAAGAUUGGGGAUUUUGUAAAAACAUUUAGUUACUUUGUAAAUUCAUUAUACAUUUAAUGAGGAAAGAGUUGCCCUAUCCUACCCAUUCGGCUAACGACCCUCCACCAAUCAAAGAAACAGUGGGUGAGAGUGGACACCCAUUAAACGACCAUUUUAUAGGCCAUAACCUUAUACCCCCCUUAUAGAUCGGCUUCGUGAAUGAGGCCUACUAACGGUAAGACUAUCAUUUAAGUUAUACAUAUAUAUAUAUAUAUAUAUAUAUAUAUAUAUAUAUAUAUACACACAUAUUAAUCUUAUAAUAUUAUAUAGUAUAAGGUUGAAUUUUAAACUUGUAAAAUUCUAGGGUUUAAAAUUUAAAUAGUUCAAAUUAAACUUUUAAUUAAAAAAUUUUAAUUUCAAAACUUGAGGGCAUGUUUUGAACUUUUCAAAAUACAAAGGAUCAAAUAGCAAAUAAUUUAAAUUAAACAUUUAUUUUAAUGAUUAUCUAGAUUUGAUAUAUUCUAUUUUAAUCACAAGAUAAUUCAUCAAAUAAAUCAAAUAAUCAAAUUUUAUCACAUAAGGAAUUUAUUAUUCAAUUAAAUGGUAAUUAUCUUUUGUUUUGGUAAGGAUAAUCAUAUAAGAACAAUAUAAAUCUGUAACAUCCGGAAUUUCAGGUAUUAUAUUUAUUCAUUUUAUUUCAAAUUUUGUGGAAGAACUCGGCGAGUCGGUGCGUAGACUCGCCGAGUAGAGACGCGAUUUCUCACCCGGAUUAAUGACCGGACUCGACAAGUCGCAUUGGUGGACUCGGCAAGUCCGCGCUGUUUAAUGAAACCCUAAUUUCUCAGGUUUGGGACCUAUUUAAAGGGCCUUAUGGCCGUCAUUUGUGCUCACCAGCCCCCAGAGCGAAACCCUAGUGAGCUUGAGCGUUUGGAGUGAGAGAAGGAGCCAUUGUCGACCUUGGAGGUGUUGUCUAGCAAGGGAAAGGAAGCUAUAGCCAAGAGGAAGCAAGAGGGUUAACUUCCUGAAUAUCUGAGGUCCAAAACAUCACGUUUGAGGUACUAUUUUCGAACCAUUUUUCUGUGGUGGUGAUGUUCAUGUUGAUUUAGGGCUUAUUGAGCCCUUUGUGACUAGAUCUAGUGCUCCCAUGGUCCCUUAGCGAGUUAGGUUCUGGAUCUGGACCCAUGGAGGUCCAGAGUGCCUCUUUGUCCAAGCUUUAUAUGAGUCUAUGGAGGUUUUGGUUUGGGAUCAUUGUAUUGAGUUUAAAACAUCAUUUAUGAGUCAAUAGGUGUGAUAUGAACGCGAAGACAUAAAGUUUACGUGAUAAAUAAGCUUGGAAAGACUGGAUCUAUGAGUUAGUGGAACAGAUCUGACCUCAGAAGGUCGUUUGGGGUUGUGCAUGGAAUGCACUCGUCGAGUCAAUAGGCAGACUCGACGAGUUGGAGCGAGUUGUUCCGUGUUUUCGAACCAGGGGUUGAGUAACCGAGUUGGGUGAGUGACUCGGUUAGUUGAAAGGGAUUCAGAGGAAUUGGGUCCCUGUAGGGACUCGGCCAGUCCACGCCAGACUCGGCGAGUUGAGUUGACCGUUGACCAUUGACCAGAGUUGACCGGUGUUGACUUGGUAGAAUUAGUCAACCAUAGUUGGGAUAGUGUUAAUUAGAGAUAUACUUGUGUUAUAGGAGGACUAUAGCUCGGGAGAUCGAGCACUAGUGAUUUCCGGGAUUUACGAGUUACCGAGAUACGCGAGGUGAGUCUUCUUACUAUACUUUACCUUGAGUAGGUAAUUAAAGUUAUGUGAUACAGUGUUGUAUGCUAUAUAUAUGUUAUGUGUUGCACUGCGUUAUUCUAUGUGAUUUAUGAUGUGCAUGCUAUCGAGUUAGAACUGGAAGGUUCACAGAGAUAGAGCCUGAGGGUUCAUAGAGUUGGGUGCACGGACCCAAAGAGUUAUAGCCUCGAGUGGCUAAUAUGUGUUAUAUAUAUGGUAUUUUGGGGAACUCACUAAGCUUUGUGCUUAUAGUGUUUGGUGUUAUUUGUUUCAGGUACUAGUGAGGAUUGCGGGAAGGCGCCGACCUGAUCAGUACACACACGGGAUUUUUAUGUUAUGAGAUCUUGGGAUUGUUAUACACUAUGAAAUUGAGUUUCAAACAAUGAUGUUUUUAUGAAUAAUAAAUGAAUGAUGUAUUUAUAAAAUGCGAAAAAUUGUUUUGAAAUUUACGGUGUUACAAAAUCAGAUUUUAUUAGUCAAAAAUAGUUUUGGUAAUCAUCCUUCAGCAAAACAGCAACAAAACCCGAGAUAUCCUCUGUCUGACAGCUAAACUCGUCGAGUUCCUAAUGUGGACUCGUCGAGUUCAACCAACUCGUCGAUUUCUCAUUGCAACUCAUCGAGUUCUUCAGACAGAGGGUCAAAAACGAAUUUUUAAAUCAUGAAUGAAAUACUAGGCAUCAAAUACAAUAGAAACCAAACAAAGCACUGAUACCACUGAUGGGUUUGAGCCAAAAGAACAUCAUAUGUGCUCAUGCAAACCCUAAUGCUUGGAUCUAGGUUUCUCUAUUGAACAUUCAAUUCAUCCAAGACAUACACACCCUAGAUCUAGUGAUAUAUUUUGAAAUUGACACAAUAAAUCAGAUCUACAUGAUUACCUCUUCUUCAAAAGCUUGAAUCUUUUUGUCUUUGGAGCUUAGAUUCACAAAUGCCACUCCUCUAAUGGCUUACAAACACCACAAGCAAGAGGAUGCUAAUUGAGAGAGAGGGGAUGGCACAAUUUCAGCUAUGAAGACUCCCAGGGUUCAAGUGGCCGAAAAUUGGAUGCCCUGUGGUCUUAUUUAUACUGGUGUUGCUAGGGUUUCAGUCAAAACCCUAAUGGAUAGCUUAGGCCUUAAGCAGUCCAAGGAAGCUUCUAGAAUAGAGCCUCAUUGGCCGAAAUUAGGAUGGACACAUCCCUAAUUUCGUCCAAGCCUAGUCCAUAAGCCUUCUCAGCCCAAUACUCAACUAUCACACAUUUGACAGUUUAAGUCCCCUUUAUUUAAUUAAUGUCUUUUAGCCACGAAAUUAAUUCUUAAUUAAUUCCUGUCGAAUAUUAAUUAAACUAUAUGAUUUAUCCUUUAAUAUAUAAUUCAUAUAAUAUAUUAAUAACCCAUAAUAACCUCUCACUUGAUAAAUCAUUCUAUCAUGUUGCUUUGGUGAAGGCAACCCAAAAGGACCAUGCACAAUCGGGUCAAAUACUUACUAAAUAUAGUUAUGUGCAUAGACACUAAUCCAACAAAAUCAUUGUUUUCAAACAACACCCUAGUCAAAACCAUGUAUCAAAUACAAAUAUCCUAGAAUCAUAGUGUAACAAAAUCUACAAAACAUAUCACUAAAGGAUGUGUACGUCAUGCCUUUGCUUUUCCCCAAUCAUCUGAAGUACCUGAAACAAUAAAGUUAAACCAUAAGCCAAAGCUUAGUGAGUUUCCCUAAAAAACCACACACAACAGAACAUAUACAAUCAUUGUAUGCUAGGUCCAAUCAGUCAUCGGACAGGAAUACCCUCGGGUCCACAACUAUCGGGCUGGAUUACCCCCGUCCCAAUUAGUCAUCAGACUGGAAUGCCUCAGCCCAAUUAGUCAUCAAAAUGGAAUUCCAAUAUGCAAAAGAUCCAAACAUUCAUCAGACUGGAAUACCAUGGUAUUUUGCAUACGCACAUAGCAGUAAAGCCUCAACCCAAAACCGCAUUAUGUCGACAUAUGCAACAAACAAGAAUAUAACCAAUCAAUAGGAAAACAGGAAGAUCUAAAGAUCAUUAUCGCAUAGCAACAUCCUAUAUACCAUGAUACAUAUCUAACAUUUCAUUGUAGCAUAAAAACAUCUAAUACACCAGGAUACAGAUCUAAUAGAUCACUAAAGCAUAACAACAUCCUAUAUACUAGGAUAUAUGACCUAAUGGUCUGAUACUGGUGCCUUUGACCCACGAGUACAAUGAGGAAAACUUACCUUGCAGUCUGAAAAGAUUGUUGAACAGCUCCUAGCUCCAACUGUUGGCCCUACAAGUCACAUAUACAACAAACAAUGACCUAGUCUCAAACUACUGCUCAAAAUACUCAAAAUACCCCUAGGUCAAACCUUGUCAAAAUCCUAGUAAAAGUCAAAGUCAAAAAGUCAAGGAUCUCUUUUGGGUUGCGUAUAGACCUGGAAAACGUGUUGUGUCAUGUCAAAACAAUAAACGGGUUUAGAGAGCUUGACCUAACCCGACCCAUUUAAGUAACGUGUCAUGUCAUGUCAACCCAUUUAUUUUCAUGUCGAGUUUAGGCUUAGGGGUAUACCUUAAAAUGUGUCUUGACAUGUGAGGUUGAAACAUUAAACAUGUUAAAAUAGUAUGAUUUAGAUAUGUGGAAAGGAAAUGUAAUAGUUGGGAGGUGGAAUGUCUAAAUUUAUAGUAAGUUUAGAGAGAAAAAUUGAAUGAAUAUGAGUUAGAAGUAGAAGGGAGGGAUCAUGAGGAGGAGGGAAUGGUUGAGGGACCUAUGUAAUUUGGUCGAUAACAAAAAAGUAAAAAUGAAAGUCUGGAGUAAGACAGCAAAGUACAUUCCGUGUUACAAAAUGAGUCAACUUAAAGGUUUUCUUUUACCUAUUGUUUUGGUGUUUGGUCUUUCUAUUUUAUUUAACAUGUUCAGAAAACUUACAUAUAAGUGGGUCAUUUUUUGAGACAUAUUCGAGUUGAAAUUCUCAACCGUAACCUUACCCGUUUAUUUUUCGUGGCAUGUCGUGUCAACCCGUUUAAUUAAAUGGGUUGAAAUAUCUUAACCAAACCUAUUUAUUUCGUGUCGAUCUCAUGUUAGGUUUCAUGUUGUGUUAGUUUUUGCCACCACAAGCUAUGUUUGCCCAUCGUACUCCUUUCUACGCCUAGCAUAGAGGGUUCCAUAUAAAUUACACAUGCUUAAAUCUUGGUACGCACAACGUACCUCCUAGUACGCCCAACGUACCAGACCCAAACCAUAAUUUUUCCAUUAAGCUUUUAUUUCUUUUAGUUAAGGAACCAAACUUCAGAUCCAAAUAUCAAGGGAAGUCUUAGUGGAUAAAGUCUCUGACUUUAUCCAUUUACAUGCAUUCAAGAGGGUGAAAAAUCAAACCCUUGGUCCAAAAGUCACCCAAAACUCCCAAACUCUUGCAUGGCUCAGUGAGAGUAUCCAAGCUCUCAUUUUUAUGAAUAUACAAACUCAAAACUACAAGAAACUACAUUUCAAGGAGCUAGAGUAACUCACACUCCAUUAGACCAAAUUAUGGGACCAAAAAUGCAUAAAACUUAUAUACUAACAAGAUCUAAGCAAAUAAUACAACAAGGCCCAAUCUUUAUACCUCCAAAUGAAAUUUAAGGGCAAAAUACUUUUGGAUCCAAAGUGCCUUAAGCUUCCAAGAUGGUUUCCUUUCCUUCUCCUUCCUUCAAGAACACCACAAAGCACACUUUCAAGCUCAAGAUGCACACACAAGGGAAUUAAGGUUUGCUUGGGACAAAAAUGAGGAUGGAGGCUGAUGAAUAAAGGGAUCUAAAUGAGAUAAUGAUGCUUAAAUAUGGUCAAAACCCUAAAAAUUAGGUUUGUCCAUCAGCCACAUACGCCCAACGUACAUUAAGUACGCCCAACAUACUAGACAACCCAUGUGUUUUCACUUAAAGAGCCUCAUGGCCAAUUUUGCAAAUAAAAUUCAUACUAAGGGUCAAAAAUAUAAAUUCCCUGAAUAAUGAAUGUUACAAUCGGAUUUAUGAAGACCAAGGAGGUCUUUAUAUAGCUAAGGUAACUUUUAGGUAAAGAUUAUUUCAAUUAAUUAAAAAAUUAAAUUUAAUCAUAAUUUAAAUCAUUUCCUUAUCAACUACCAGGAACUAAAUCUAGAUAGCUUCUAGAGCCUCUCAAAGCCGUCCACUCCUUUUGGGUAUUCUAGAAUGUUCAUCUUAAUCAACUAUUGAACAAUUAACAUUCAAUAUAUAUACCUUUAAAUUAAUCCUGGUUAAUUAUAAUUAAUUCAAGUGAUCCUAACUAGUUUCUAAUUCAUUUAUCUGAUGGGUUUUAUGCAAAACAAGCAAACUUAAACUCUUAAGUGUGCAUGCAACCCUAAUAAAGAUCUAUGCUUUCACUAUUGAACAUAUAACUAUGAACAUCAAAAGGAAACCCUAAGAAAAUUAGACUAUUUUCGGAAAUACCCAAUUAGGGUUUUAGGAUUACAUAACUUGAUUGUUAUUGUAGCAAAUAACAACAAACACCUUCUUAUUGAUCUCUUGGGAGCAAGCAUCCCAAUUUUUGUGCCUCUAAUGGAAUCACACUCAAGCUAGCAAGAGGAUGAAUAUACAAAGAUGAGAAGGGAUAGCCAAAUUCAACCAAGGCUUCUUGAGGGAAGCAGUGCACGAAAAUGUGAAGGGCUAGGUCCUUUAUAUAGUUAAGGUAGCUUGGUGCCAAACCUAGGGUUUAAGGGAGAAACCCUAAAUUCCCUAGCUUGUUGAACAAGCAGUCCAUUUCCCUCAUUCAAGGGUCUUGGACGAAAACUCUUGCGCUUGCCCAAGUGAUUUUAAUCCACAUCAUCCAAUAAGGUCUUUGGGCUUUCCUUUCUUCAACUUUUAAUAAAUAACCAAACAGUCCCUGCACUUUUAAUUAAUCCUAAAAUUAAUUCCAAUUAAUUUAUGAUUAAUAUUAAUUAAACAAUAUGAUUUCUAGUUAAUAUAUUGUUUUCAUAAUAUAUUAAUGAAUCAAUUAUUUCAAUUUAUUACUGAAAUAAUAAAUCGACCUCUCUUUCACCAAAAUCAUCCUGUCUAGUUGCUAGGUUUGAGGGCAACCCAAAAGGACUAUGCUACUAUCAAUUCAAGAAUACAUCAAUUAUAGUUAUGGGAUUAGACAACUAAUCCAACAUUAUCAACAUGUAAUAAUUUAAUAAACUAUUUAUUUCACUCUCUUAUACCUUUUCUAUCUAUGUUAGCUCUUGAGGGUAACCCUAAAAGGACUUUGUUGUUAUUCUCAAAGUUAUACAAAUUAGUUAUGACAUUGGACACCUAUUUUCAACGGAAAGGUCAUUUUAUGCUACAAGACUUUGUUAUUCCAGUAAUGGAGUUUUUUGGAUUUAAUAUUUGGAAAUUGGAACAUUAUGACAACAACUAUUGUAUUGUUUUAAUAUAUAGGGAUAUGAUAUUUUUAAUAAUAUUUAUUGUGUUCUAUACUAACAUGGUUAAUCCAUUAAUAAUCUAGUCAUUCUAAAAUUCCAUAGUUGGUGAUAAUUAUGGGAACAACUAUUAGGUAAGACUAAUAUAAAGUUGAUUCUCAAAAGAUAAAAGUAGGCAAAUAGUUGCAACCAAUAUUCAUAAGCACUUGUUAGAGAAAAAGUACUGGAAAUGGCCUAUUUUAAAAUCACUUCCUGGAUUGCUAUCAUGAGUGAUACUUGAUAAAGGUAAUAUCUUUGUACCCUUAAUACAUGAGAUACAUAUUUGGAAUAUGAGUGUAAGGAAUACUGAUUACAUACCUUAUACAUCAUUUGAAGCUUUAUUGGAUGUUGUUAAAUGACACUUCUACAUGUGUUAUUAGGGGUAAAGAAAUUUUGCUAGAUAUUCACAACUAUCUAUAUCAAUCUAGAAUGAGUCUUGUGCAAGUGGAAGAUUGAAAGAUCUAUAUGCUCAAGAAUCAAUACUGAAUGGUAUUUGCUAAUUGCAUAUGAUUCAAUAGAGUCGCAGCAAAAACAAGUAAACGUCAAUAAAAUAUUUAUGAAGAUUUUAUCUUAGUAAAUAUUUAUAAUUCUUUCAUAAUUAAUUGUAAAAUUAUUAUUUUAUAAAUAUAAUAUUUUCUAAAAGAGUAAUUAACUAAAGCUUCUAUUACCAUUUUUAGUAUUUUUACAAACCGAUUUUUGUAUAAUAUCUAAUAGAUCGGUCGUAAGUGACAUCGACGAUAGGCAUUAAUUCACAAUAGUAAGGCGAUGCGACGGGGACGUAGCCCAUGAUGAUCUGAUUCUUGGUAGUGGUUUCUAGAUCCAUAUUUAAUUUGCUCAGAGGUUCCUUCUCUGAUAUUGCCAUGCAUCUUAGAGUCACCAGAUAUUCAAAGUCUGAGAUUCUCAUUGUGGAUACCCAACAGAGCAUAUCUGAAGCGACAAUAGUGAUUUAAUGGGCUUACAUCGAUGUUUGAUGGGAGGAUAAAAUGAAGGUGAUUCCAUUAGAUCUCGACAGAUUUCACGAGAUCUAUGUUUCGGUGUUAGAAGUCGCUGAAGGCAGGACGAAGAGGAAGAAAUCUAUAAAACAAUGUUGGAGCCAACGACGAAGGUGAUCUGUUAGUGGUGGCAACAUGGUGGUUCCAUUAAGGUGUUUAUUGUUUUGACCUGGCUCAUUCCCUUAUCUAUUUAUAUGUUCAACAUUUCACCUUUAUCCACCUGCCCUGCACCUUCAACAUCCUCGAUCACUCCCACCAUCUGCCAUCGUUAAAGAGACCUAGCUAAAUCGACACCACUCACUACCCCACUCAUGCUACAAAGAUAUAGCUCGUUUGCCUUCUUCUGCUUUUAACCACUGAAGCUACUCCAUGUGUGUUCUACUUCCUCAGGUAAAUAUUAAAAGAGUGAAUCCUUUUCCCAAUCCUCUCCUCCCCCCUGUUACUAAAAUCUAAUAUCAGGCAAAAGCCUAUCAAAGCUGAAGAAGAAAAAUGGUGGUUAAGGGUGAAAUAAUUAAUGGCUUCUUCUCUUCUUCUCUCGUUUACGAUCAAAAAUAAUCUUGCAAGAGGUAUCUCUCCUUUUCUUUCUGGUUUUUAAACCACAUACAAACACACACUUUUGUUUUAUGUUUAUAUAUAUAUAUAUAUAUAUNUAUAUAUAUAUUAGUGCAACUUUCAUAUUGUUUUUUUAGAACCACCAUUUCUAACAAUUCCAGUUUCUUGACAUGUGCUAUUUUGAAAAUGUGGGGAUAGAGUUAACCCCCAUGAGAGCCAGUUAUGGAACAAACCUAAGGUGAGUAAAAUAAAUGAGGGUAAUUUUGUAAGAAGUUAGUAUGAAAGCCUCAUGUUUCUGUACUUGGAUUGUAUAUCAGUUAUCUCCUCUGUUACUCCCUCUAUCCCUCUAUCUAAGUAGGGGAAAUUUGACUCUCGAUCUAAAGUUGUGGGCUUUUUGCAAGACUACAUACAAACAAAUGUAAAAUCCUGGUUUGAAAAAAUAAAAUACUAAUUUUGAUAUAUUUUGGAUUAUCUUUGACUUCGGUUGUAACUUAUUAGGUUGCAAGCAUAUUUAACAUCAAUCAAUGUUAACUUUUCACACCAUAUUUUACAUAUUCUCAUUUUAUUAUUUCAUUAUCUUUAUUGAUGUGAUGUUUUUAUUUGUGCAGUUUAAGCAUUGUAAGAUAGGUAUAUACAUAAAAUGAACGAAGUAAGGAGGGGUAAUUCAUUAAUUUUUCAUUAUGUCAAUAUUACUUAUAACAAGUGAAACCAUGUGAGUGUUAGUCCCUCCAGGAAAAGACCCACCUUGCCGCCAACCAUGGUUUUUCUGAAACGUAUUGUCAUUUGGAUUGUACUUUUACUCAUUUUUGGUGCUUUGGGAUGUAACAUCUCGAGAUUUUGCAGGUAUUUCCGAAUCCUCUCUUUUAUUAUUAUUUUGUCAUUUGUAGUCCCUGGGGAUGGAAGAGUUAAACCAUGAGAAGCCUAAGGGCCAAAGUUGCAACUUUGGGAUCAAGAAGAGUACGCUAAGUGUAUAUAAGGUACGCUGAGUGUACUAGGUGUGCCCUAGUACACUGGGCGUACACUUGUGUACGCUAUGCGUACUCACGUCAGAUGGAAACCCUAAUAUUUAGGGUUUGGGUGCUAUAUAAACGUCCUUAUAAGCUUAUAACCAUCUAUCAUUUCAGCCUCCAUAGCUUUGAGCCGUUUUCCCCAAACCCUAACCCCUUUCUUGAGCGUGUAAGCUAAAAGUGUGUGUUUUGGGUGGUAGAAGAAGAAGGCAUUACAUUAACGAGUUGGAGAAGUGAGGCAAGCUUGUAGACCUGAGGCUACUUUGUGCUCUAGAAGCUCCAGGAGGUAAAAAGCUCCAAUAUUUAUGAUUAUAUGAUGUAGAUCUUGCCUUAUUAGCUUUAUUACACCUUCUUUGUCCCAAAAAGUCCCAAGUUUGUGCAUGAUGCGUUUUGGACGUAAUAAGCUAUCCUUUCAGACCUUAGGAGGGGUUCUAAAUGAUAAAAAUGAAGUCCCAAUGGCUAAAAGUGUGCCAUGAAAGUAGUAGGAAGGUCUUAAUGGAUUAAGAUCAUGUAUGAAGGGCUUUUUGGACGUCCAAAGUCUUAAUGUUCGAGACGUUAUGGUUCUGGGGUUCAUUUAGUCAAUGGAUCUGGAGCUUGGGCUUAAGUGCUUAAGCCAUUAAGCACUUAUUAGAGUUUUUGGUAAAAGUCGCGUACCCCCGCGUAAGUUUUGUAUGCCUAGCAUACUGAGUCAACCAACCCGAUGGUGGUCAACGCAAGGCAGAGUACGCCUAGCGUAUGCCCUCUGUUGGGCUUUUGACGAUUUGGGCUUCGGGAUUGGGCCGCCUUUGGACCAGUUUGACUUAGGCCUUGCUGGACUUUCUGAUUAGGUGUGUAUUGGGCCAGUUUUGGCUAUGGAUCUUAAAAUGAGGCCCAAUUAGGGAGUUGGGCCUAAUUCGAAAAAUUAGGCCAAUAAUGGGCCUUGUAUAUGUGGACGUUUGGAUCAUGGAUUUGGUAUUGGGCUUUGGCCCAAAUUAGUGAAAAGGCAAAAUGGACUAUUACCCAAUGUGGGACCCUUGGUCAAGAUUGAUAUCCCAAUUGUUGACUUAGUAUUCGAUAUUUUGGAUAGUUUGGGAUUUUAUGUGAGAUAACGGUCGGAGACUUUCAGUCCAGUUCAGCACUACUGUGAGGUGAGUUGUCCUCACUAUACUUAGGGGUCGAAGGCACCAAGGCCGACCCAUUGGAUAUGAUAUUCUAGUAGUUGUGAUAUGCUGAGUAUGAGUUAGUUAUGCAUUCUAGUUUGCUAUGCUAGUCUGGUAGGUCUAUAGGACUACCUAUGGUACUGUUUGGUUAUCUGUACGUGUAUUUAGCUGUUACGUGUCGACAUGUUGUGUGGGUAGGGUUGAGGUUAUACUGCUCCGUGCGGGAACCAACAAACCCUGGAGUAUUCCAGAUAUGAGCUGAGGGCCAGGGAGAGCAUGUCAUACUUAUACUGUGGACUCCUAAGCAUUCCAGAUGCGGGCUGAGCGCCAAGGGAGCAUGCCAGACUCGUACUGAGGGCUGAUGAUUUAGAUUCCAGUCUUAGGACUGAAGGGGAAAGUCAGUCAUAAGUUAUGGGCCCGAGUGCAAGCCAGACUUAUGAUGUGGGCUCAAGAGCAAGCCAGAUGUGAGUUGUAGGCCUGAAAGGCAAGCCAGACUCAUAUUGUAGGCUCGGGGGUAAUCUAGUCUGCAAAGAUGUGGACCCAUUAAAUGUUGUUAUUAUGUGUGAUAUUUGUUAUGUAUAGGUAUUUUGGGGGAACUCACUAAGCUUCGGGCUUACAAUUUUGGAUUUUGUUUCAGGUACUUUGGAUAAUCGCGGGAAGACGAAGGCAUGAUCGUGCACCUCCUCACAUUUUAUGAUUUUGAUUUCUGGGAUACUCUGAUAUGAAACUAUUUUGAAAACAUUUUGUAAUAAAUAAUGAUUUUUGGAUGUUUGGAAAAGUUUAAAUUUUUUGUGAAAUUUAUGGAUGUUACAUGGGAAGGUGAGUUUACGACUUUGAAAAAUGAUUAUUUUAACCUAGUUUUCUGGUAAUUUGGUAAUUUUAAAGCUAUACCAAUAGAAAUGGGUUAGUUAUAAAACAUAAACCCUUUGUAAGCCAAUUUUCGUCAUUUGUAAUUAACUCUUACUUAAUUAUAUAUUUACCAUAUUUUAUUAUUUUUCAAUUUUUAACCAACAAGUUGACAACAAACAAAAUGGAGUGAUUCUUAAUAGUUUAUUCGAUUGCUUCAGCCUGGCUAAUAUGUCAACAUAUAUAGGAAAUCAUCAUUGUCUAUUAAUCUUUCAAUUAAUAUGCUUGAUAAAAGUUUUAGAAAAUUGUGAUUCCGUUGAGACAUCUGAUAAGGUGUUUGAGUCCUUUCUGCAUUAAGCGCAAAAAAAAAAAAAAAAAAAAAAAAAAAAAAAAAAAAAAAAAAACUGAUCUAAUUAAUUUGUUUCUCAUUAGGCAUCUACUAUGGCUUCCAUUUUUUCCUUUUUUUUUUAAUAUUGGUUGAAAUUAGUGUUUUUAUAUCAUUUAUUGUAGAAGAAUGUUGUUUUCACUUCUUCGGCUGCUAUUUUAAGAUUGAACGAUGUAAUGGUCUGUAAUGGUUGUUCAAGUUCAGACGCAUUGAGUUGCUAUAUCCUGGUGUUGUUUUAAUGAUAUGGAGGGUAUAAUGGUCCUCAAUGAUUGUUGCCUUGUGUUGAUGUUUCAUGCUUCUUAGUAGGCUACUUUUAAUAUUUGCUUUUGUGGAUGUAUCUUACUAAGUUUUUUUUGUUGUUUUUUCAUACAGUAACUUAUAAAAACAAAUUAUUAUGUAUAAAUAGUAUUCAUUAUCUUGUUAAUGUAGAAAUUAUGUUCUAUGGUAAAUCCAUAUGGAGUUAUAUGCUGUUUAAUUGAUUUAAUUUAAGUUAAUUAUUUUUUACAUAAAAUAGAAUAAAAAAAGAUAAAUUAAAAUUUGUGAAAUUCUUGACCCAGGUAUCAAUCAUCAUCUUUGAACAACUAAACAUGUUUUAUUUUUUUAAUAUUAAAAGAUCUAAAAUAGUUUCAUGUAUAUGGAUUGACAAAAUAUUUAAAUUAUAAUAAUAUAACGGUGAAAUAAUUUGAAUUUUACGGUAAUUAACCAUCAUACAAAAAGUAUUAUUGUCAAACACAUUUGAAUUUUACGGCAAUUAACCAUUAUACAAAAAGUAUUAUUGUCAAACACAUUUACAUAAUGGUUUUUAAAUAAACGACUGUAAUUGGUUAUAGACAAUUCAAUAUGACAUGUUUUUAUAGUUAUUUUAUAUUGGACAUAUUUAACCGUUUUUUAUUUAAAAGUAGAAAUGACUAUGUUUACAAAAAUUUAAUUGCGAUCAAUAUAACCUUUUUUUAAAACACUUGUUGUGAAGUUGGCUCUAUAUAUAAAAGAAUUCAUUAAUCAAAUUCAAAGGGAUAGAAACUAAGGAAGAGCUUUAAAUGCAGUAAGUCGUGUUGCUCGCGAGUUACUCAAUAUCAACUCGUUAAAAGCUCGACUUGAGAUUAAAUUAAACGAGUCAGAGCCGAGUUCACAUGAGGCUUGUUUAUUAAACGAGCUCGAACCGAUCUUCAAUCAGUAAGCUCGCAAUCCUAAACGAGUCUAUAUAUAAUAUACAUUAUUAUUAUUUUUAUAUAUUAAAAUAAAAANNNNNNNNNNNNNNNNNNNNNNNNNNNNNNNNNNNNNNNNNNNNNNNNNNNNNNNNNNNNNNNNNNNNNNNNNNNNNNNNNNNNNNNNNNNNNNNNNNNNNNNNNNNNNNNNNNNNNNNNNNNNNNNNNNNNNNNNNNNNNNNNNNNNNNNNNNNNNNNNNNNNNNNNNNNNNNNNNNNNNNNNNNNNNNNNNNNNNNNNNNNNNNNNNNNNNNNNNNNNNNNNNNNNNNNNNNNNNNNNNNNNNNNNNNNNNNNNNNNNNNNNNNNNNNNNNNNNNNNNNNNNNNNNNNNNNNNNNNNNNNNNNNNNNNNNNNNNNNNNNNNNNNNNNNNNNNNNNNNNNNNNNNNNNNNNNNNNNNNNNNNNNNNNNNNNNNNNNNNNNNNNNNNNNNNNNNNNNNNNNNNNNNNNNNNNNNNNNNNNNNNNNNNNNNNNNNNNNNNNNNNNNNNNNNNNNNNNNNNNNNNNNNNNNNNNNNNNNNNNNNNNNNNNNNNNNNNNNNNNNNNNNNNNNNNNNNNNNNNNNNNNNNNNNNNNNNNNNNNNNNNNNNNNNNNNNNAUAUAUAAAAGACUUAAUCAAGCUCAAUUUCAUAAACCCUAAUCAUAACCAUUUGAAAAGGUCUUUCGCCAACCCCGCUUUUGAGGGUACAUUGCAUGUAUUCUUAUUCUACAUUCAUACCACCUAGAAAAUAUGAAAUAUUAAUUAUGGUAAUUAUAACAAAAAAGAAAUAAUAAUAAUUACUUAAUAAUAUUUUAAAAUUAAGGAUAAGUUGCUCACAUCAUGCUUAUCAUCUUUAUGAUUAUGUUGUAAGAUCUUAUUUAGCAAAAGGGGUUUGUAAAGCUCUUUUAAACACUUCCACUUGUUUAUCUAAAUAUUAAUUUAUUUUGGCCAACGGUUUUUGGUAAAACAUGUCAAACGGAUCAAAACUCCAAAGUAUACGCUGAAAAGAAUUUAUUGGAAAAAAAAAAAAAAACGAUUUUUAAAGGUAAUAACAUUAGAAUUUAAUAUAUUAAUUUUUUAAAACUAUUUAAAAAGUAUUAUUAUGAACGACUAUUAUCUAUAGAGAGAUAGAUUCAAAUGUUGCUCACAUCUAUUGUGUGCUAUAAUAUACCAAUAAUAAUUUAGUAAAAUUAUAUGUAUAUUAAAUGAUAUCCAUACUUAUAAUUCAUUUUUAUGGAAACUAAUUAAAUUCAUUAUUAAUGUAACAAUAAUAUUCUUUCAGAAUGAAUUCCUAUCUAGAAAAAUGAGAGUGUAUUAUAGUAGAAAACGCUUUCGUUUUCAUAUUCCAUUCAACUUUAUUGUAUUUUAAGUGACUGAGUCCUGAAACAAACAACGAACCCAUACCUAAAAACCUAGGUAUGAAUUCAUUCAGAAAGAAUGUUUUUGUAACACCCGAGAUCAGAAAGGUCAAGAAAGGAAAGGAAAAACCCUAGGUUGAAGAGGGUUGACUCGUCGAGUCCAGGGAGGAACUCGGCGAGUCGGAGCGGGAUCCGGGUGUAAAGCAAUUGACCGACUCGGCGAGUCGGCAAGUGGACUCGGCGAGUCAGGUCUGGGUUUGGAAACCCUAAUUUCGGGACUUGGUACCCUAUUUAAGCAUCCUAUUCUCUUUCCUAGGGCUCAGUUGCGGCCCUAUAGUCCUGAACCAGAAACCCUAAGCCUCCAUUGUUGCUCAUUCAAGUUUUCUUGCCAUUUUGGGUGGUUUGAAGGAAGAAGGAAGAAGGCACACAUUGGGGAUUCAAGAAUUGGCAGUAGAUCCAGAGUUUGUGAGGUCUUCCAGAGCAUUUGAAGGUAAUGAGUCGUGACCUUCCCUCUUUUGCUUUUAGAUCAACCUUUAUCAUAGGAUUUGGGGCUUUUAGGGCAAGUUCUUGAGCCAUUUCGAGUUAGAAGCCCAGAUCUGAAGUUGCUACUUCAGAUCUAUGUGUAUCUUGGCCUAGAGAAUCAUAAAGCAUCAGUCUAUGGGUUGAUUGUUGAGCCCCUUUGUCUCAAACCCUAAUUUUAUGGUGUAUGGUGCCUAGAUCUCCUUCUCUACACGUAAAGUUUGCAACUUUACGUGGGGAAUAGGCUUAGGAAGGGUAGAUCUGCAGUAUGGAGUCCAUGCAUGACUCAAAAGUCCUCUGCAUGUAUGAAGAUCUGAAUAGACUCGGCGAGUCCUUCGAGUGGACUCGGCGAGUAGCUUGAAGAUGAGGAGGAACUCGACGAGUGAGAUGAACAGCUCGUCGAGUCGGAUGAAGUUAAGCAUGAACUCGGCGAGUUGGAAGAACAACUCGACGAGUUGGUUGAAGAUUGCCUUGGACUCGGCGAGUCUAUUAGUGGACUCGGCGAGUCAGGUCGCGAAACCUCAAACCCUUCGAGUUGAGACUCGAAUCAGUGAGUCGGGUGGUGACUCAGCGAGUUGGACAGGACAGGACUUGGAACUAGUUGGACUCGGCGAGUCAUAGAAUGACUCGGCGAGUCGAAUCGCGAUUAGAAAGACCCUGAGCUUAUAAACUCAGCGAGUCAUUAGGAGGACUCGGCGAGUAGGGUUGACCUGGAAGGUUGACUUUGACCAGAGUUGACUUAGUUGACUGUCAGACUAAGUGUUAUAUGUAUAUUGAUAGCUCGGAGAGCUAGAGGAGCAGCGGUUCAAGGGAUUGUCGAGUAGCAGCCAGAGGUUUAUCAGCAGAGCUCAGCAGUUCAGGUGAGUUUCCUUCCAGUAGGAACGGGUCUAAGGCCACAAUGCCGGCCCGUUUAGCUAGCAGUAGUUUUCGGAUGUUGAUCUGAUAUAGUAGUUAGUAUGUUUGAUGCCUUCGUGGCUCAGACAGGAUUUAUGUGUUAUGUGUUCCGGGCUACGGCCCGAAGUAGUAUGCAGUAUACGUGUGUUCAUGCUAGUUGAUAUGUUUAUGUUAUGUUCUGUUCAGUUAGCCCGGACUUCGGUCCGAUGCAGGGGGCAAGGCCCCAGUUAGUCCGGACUUCGGUCCGAUGCAGGGGGCAAGGCCCCAGUUAGCCCGGACUUCGGUCCGAUGCAGGGGACAAGGUCCCAGUUAGUCCGGACUUCGGUCCGAUGCAGGGGGCAAGGCCCCAGUUAGCCCGGACUUCGGUCCGAUGCAGGGGACAAGGUCCCAGUCAGUUUCCGGACUUCGGUCCGAUGCAGGGGGCAAGGCCCCAGUUAGCCCGGACUUCGGUCCGAUGCAGGGGACAAGGUCCCAGUUAGUCCGGACUUCGGUCCGAUGCAGUGGGCAAGGCCCAAUAUGUGCUUUAUAUGUUUUUGUGUGGUAUGUGGUAGAUUGGGGGAGCUCACUAAGCUUCGUGCUUACGGUUUUCAGUUUUGGUUUCAGGUACUCGGUUUUCAAAAGAGGAGCUCGGGAAGAUUGCAGAGCACACACCAUAGUCAGUUAGCCUGGGAAUGUUUGACUCUGAUAAUGAUAUUAUGUUUUGAAUUUAAUACUCAAAAGUUAUGUUUGACUUAUGAUACGUUGUUAUAAAUCUAUUUUUAGUAAUGUUUAAAAGAAAUUUUUAGUCAUGAUUUUUGGGUCGUUACAAGUUGGUAUCAGAGCCUUGGUUUGAGGGAUUCGGGCGCACUCCUGAGUGUGUCUGAACUCAAACUAAGGAAGUGGUAUAUAGUUUUCAAAAGAAAAAUCGUAGUUACAAAAGAAUUUUGAGAAAAGAAAACAAUUUUAGAAAAAUCUAAAGAAAAGAGUUUUAGAAAAAGCAAAAAGAGUUUUGAAAAGAGAAAAGGGUGUGGUGCAUGCAAUCAGCCGAGCUCAAGUAAGUACUCCCAAUUUACCCAUACAAGUUAUAUUAUGAUUAUCAGUAUCAGUUUCAGUUUCAGUUUCAGUUCCAGCUUCAGUAGAACAGCAUGCUAGAAUAGGACUAAGGAUCUAGGAUGAUGCCUUAUGUGCCUGCUUUAUGUGUUCAGCUUUAUGAGAAUUGCAUGCUAGUAUUGAGUAGACAGCAGUAGGAUAGCCUGUUUAGGUUAUGCCUGGUAGCACGAGCUUAGCAUUGUAUGCUAGUGUAGUUUCUCGUUAUGAGAAUAGUUUUGCCUGAGUAUGUCUCCUUUAUCCGAAUGCUGCUUGCUUUGUGCUUUGUGGGACUCUGAGUGGUGGGAGUUAGCCAUUAGGUGAAUACGUCACAUCACAUGUGAGCAGGGUUGAAUAAUCUCAGAGUGCUGGAUUUGGCCCUACUGCGCAGCUCUCGUUUGAGUCCAACCGUUGUAGGGACGAGACUUUUACUCGAAGGAUUAUCCGAGCCUCAUUACAUGUGAUGGUAUUCAGGUGGUGGCUAAUUGGCAUUACAAGGAGGCCUUCAGCAGCUGAGGACUGGUUUGAGUAGAGUCAGAAGUUCCCUAGGGCAAGCCUAGGAUGAGAGUAGCAGAGAUCAGUAGAAGAGUAAAGGGGACUUGGUGGAGUUGAGGUAACUCUUGAGGAAAGUACGGAUAGAUGUGGAAGGUAGUAGGGGCCCAUACUACUGAAAGCAGAGGAUCCGUACUCGAUUCAAGAGGGGCCAAGACGAAACCAGGAAUGGGGUAGUGAGUGAGAAAUUCCUCAGCAGUAGUAUGUAAAUUGAUCAGGAUUUUGUUAUAUUUUCAGCAUGGUGACGUUGCGCGAGAUACCAGUUAGCAGUUCAGGUGUCGAGGAGGGGUCUGGCUCGGGCUUCAGAGCCGGGCAGCUUGAUGAUCAGAUGAGGGAUUUCAUUUCCGCAGAGAUUACGCGCAACAUCAUUGAUCAGACUCCAGUGAUUUUCGGUUCGGUUAGAGAGGCCAUUGUGGAGCUCAUGGACCGUCAUCUUGAGGCCUUUAAGGCCGGGAUAGUUUCAGGACAGAUUGGGGCUCGUCUAGGUCCCGAAUCUUAUGGAGUUCAGGGAUCCAUCAGGGAGGGAGAUCCCAUUUCUAGUUUCUGCCAUCAGGGGACAGGAGUGAGUGGGGCACCCUGUCUCCAAGAGAGAACUCUGUAUGAUUGGAUAGUUGAGGAAGUUUUGCGAGCCAUUCGCGAGGAUCUGCCCGACAUGGUUGUGAGGAUCAUUGAUAAAUUGAUCGAGAGGCUCUAGGAUUAGACAGCUAUUGUUCAGUCGGCGGGCAGGGAGUCGGAAAGGAAGAGGAAAACGGAUAAGACUCAGGUAGCCACAUGUUCGGGUAAAAGGCUCAAGGGUUCGGAUUUGAGGACGAGGAUCUAUCAGAACCGCAGUCGAUGCGGGAAGUGCGGAAGGACGCACAUGGGUGUGUGCAGGCGUAGAAGUCGUAGCGAUGUUGGAUGUUUCAAGUGCGGCCAGAUUGGUCAUUUUAGCAGAGACUGUGUUGUUACCAUCGCCCAGGGACUUGAUCCGUUAUGUUUCCAUUGCAGUCAGAGGGGCAACAAGAAGGCCCACUGUCCGAGUUUGUAUACAGCAGGGCAUGUGUUAGCUCCUGCCCCUGGGACUUCGAGAGCCACCAGUGGACAUCAGGGUCGGGCAAGGGCGCCUACGGCUCGGAGCCGAGUUUUCCGGUAGAUUUCAGCAGGGAUACGAGCAGCAUUGAGUGAUGGAGGUAUGUAUCUUUUACUUUUCUGUCAGCUAUUAUUUGUGAUAUUAUUGUUAUGUUGCUGCAUUGUUAUCAAUAAGCUUAAGUGUUGGGGUAUUGUAUUACCUGCUUGUGGUUGAGUUUUAUGCCAUCUGCAUACCUUGGAAUUGAAUGGUGAAUUGGAGGUCGUCCCCUCUAGAUCAGGUUACUUCGGAUACAGUAACUGUAGCAUGUAUGUGUAAGAUGCAGUAGUGCCUUACUACUUGCGGAAGGCGUUAGUCGGGUAAUGAUCAGUUAUAUUUUCAGUAGUGAUAACCCAGAGUUUUUAGUGGAGUAGCUAGCGGUCAGUAAGGAAGUGGGUUGGGGAUGUGCACCCCAAACGCAGAUUCUCGGGAUGUAGUCCCUAAAGCAAAUACAGUUAAGGAUCGAAGGGUGCUCAGUCAGAUAGCAAGAAGGGUGCGGAUCUGGUAAGAGUUAGUUGGAGCGCUGGCAAGGGUAAACGUCGGCGGACAGCAUAUCGCCCUUUUAAUGGAAGGAAGGUUGGAAAUCCUUUCGACCAGUGAGCAGUAAGGAUCUAGCCGAAUCCAAGUGGGGGAGAACCCUCCGAGUAUACAAGGAUAAGAGCCACGUAGACCCAGAAUGAGUGUGCGGCCUCUGAGAAGAAAAGAUAGUAGCACAGUGAUUGAUGGAUUGAGAAGUUCAGAAUUGGGAGUUCGAGGACCUUCCCAGCAGUUAGUUCAUGUAAUCGAGAUGGUUAGAAGCUGGUUGGGAAUCCAGGAUUGGAGGACCACCUGUAGGGCUCAAGUGAGUCGGAAUGAGGAUCCUGAGAACGGUUAGCAAGAGAUGCUUUCGUAUUAGUAGCCAGUGACAGAGUCAGCAUGCAGAAUUGUGUAGAUUCAGGAGUUGGGAGUUUGGAAACUUCCCAACAAUAGCUUCUUGUAUCCGGAUUAGUAGACGGUUGGUUUGGGAACCAAGCCGAAGAGUUCCUCGACGAAGCGCUAAGUAUAUCAAGGAUAUAAGAUGUCGAGGAUGAUGCAGUAUUCAAAGACUGAGGGCUGGUUUUGAGAAAUCAGGAUGAGGAAUCACUAGCAGGACUAGGGAUAGUCAGGAUGUCCUCAGAUAGUAGUAGUAGUGUUGUAAGUCUGCGGGGGUAGCCGUAGCAUUCACUAGCAGUCAGAUAGUAGUAGUAGUGUUGUAAGUCUGCGGGGGUAGCCGUAGCAUUCACUAGCAGUCAGAUAGUAGUAGUAGUGUUGUAAGUCUGCGGGGGUAGCCGUAGCAUUCACUAGCAGUCAGAUAGUAGUAGUAGUGUUGUAAGUCUGCGGGGGUAGCCGUAGCAUUCACUAGCAGUCAGAUAGUAGUAGUAGUGUUGUAAGUCUGCGGGGGUAGCCGUAGCAUUCACUAGCAGUCAGAUAGUAGUAGUGGUGUUGUAAGUCUGCGGGGGUAGCCGUAGCAUUCACUAGCAGCCAGAUAGUAUUAGAGAGUUGUAAGUCCGCGAGCGUAGUCGCAGCCUUUAUCAGAUUGGUAGGUAGCAUGAGCGCGUGUUGGACGCGGGAAAGCAGUAGUACCCACCAGUUCGGGUGCAGCAGUGAGGAUAUGGGAAUCCA